UAAUCUGUAAAUUAAAUUAGGUAAAGGAUUCUGUACGAAUCUAUGCAGGUUCGAGCCCUGUCGGAUUAA
rnacentral:tRNA from 1 species